CCUACGGGAGGCAGCAGUAGGGAAUCUUCCACAAUGGGCGAAAGCCUGAUGGAGCAACGCCGCGUGGGUGAAGAAGGUCUUCGGAUCGUAAAACCCUGUUGUUAGAGAAGAAAGUGCGUGAGAGUAACUGUUCACGUUUCGACGGUAUCUAACCAGAAAGCCACGGCUAACUACGUGCCAGCAGCCGCGGUAAUACGUAGGUGGCAAGCGUUAUCCGGAUUUAUUGGGCGUAAAGGGAACGCAGGCGGUCUUUUAAGUCUGAUGUGAAAGCCUUCGGCUUAACCGGAGUAGUGCAUUGGAAACUGGGAGACUUGAGUGCAGAAGAGGAGAGUGGAACUCCAUGUGUAGCGGUGAAAUGCGUAGAUAUUAGGAAGAACACCAGUGGCGAAGGCGGAUUACUGGACGACAACUGACGGUGAGGCGCGAAAGCGUGGGGAGCAAACAGGAUUAGAUACCCCGGUAGUC
rnacentral:rRNA from 1 species